rnacentral:lncRNA from 10 species
AUUGACCAUAUUCUUCCUUUUUUGGGUUGGGUUACAGUUAGUAGAAGCUAUGCAAUUUUUUAAGUGAGUUAUUUUGGAGAAUAUCAUAUUGUAACGUUGCAUAGAUCUGUGUUUAUUUUGAUGUGGUGAACAAAAAUAACAGAAAACAUAUAUUAAAAAAUUAAAUUGAAAUAUUUUAAAUGCUUGAGAAGAGAAAAAUUCUCAGUUAUGCUUUCUGUAUAUUGUAUCUAAGUAAGUUCAAUAUCCACUAACUCCCCAACCCGGUGAUUCACCCCAAUCCUUACGUUACAUCCCGUAAGUCUCAUUUUUAUGUUCUCAUUUGAUUGAAGUAAAUUCAUAGAGCUAGUCACCCUCACACAUAUUCCCAACCUUUUCUCAAAAUACUUAAUGAUCAUUCAACCCAUCAUUUGCCCUUAGUAGAGUGCUCCCUGUUUUCUGUUGCUACUUUCACUCUUGACAGAGUGCACUUUAAAGAAUCUUUUAUGUACUGGACUCUUUUUUCGGAUUCUGAGAUUCUUAAGCGUAGGGUUUAGUCAUUUUUUAAUUAUAUAUUUUCUAUUUUUUAGCACAUACAUACACAACUGCAUAUUUUUAAAAGUCAAGUAGUACUACAUGGAUUAUAAGGAAAAACAGCCAUCUCCAGCUCUGAUUCUUCUCUGGUCCUUUUGUUACUUUGAUCUCUGCCUUUUGUGUUAGAAGUUUUUCUUAAAAGCUGUUAGGGCACUGAGUACAAACUUUGAGAACAGGAAGGGUUUCCAAACAUCAGGGGUCUUGAAUAUUUCAUCACGAGAUUCCCAAAUGUUAGUAUCCAUUUUUUUCCCCUCCAGAGCUAUCACAGUUUCUUCAGAAAAAUAUGCCUGGUUUCUUAAACUGAGUGGAAGGAGGUUAUAGGUCUUACCAGUUAGUGUGUUUUUUAGAACACAGUCCUGUGAGAAUCUCUAUAAAGCAAACAGAUUCUUUGUUUAAUGGUCAAUAAAGAGAAAGUGCAUGUAGGAGAUAAGGCAUUCCAGGAUCUUCCUCCUAGAGCAUCACUGUGUGUGCUACUCUACAAAAGGCUGCCUGCCUUUCUCUAAUUUAGUGUAUUCAAAAGUCUUCUGACCAAAGUUCCUUUUAUCCUUUUUUUCCCUUUUUCUUGUUGAACAGAGUGGGAGAAGAAGUAUAUAUGAGAUUGUAUACCUUGCCAAUGGGUAUACAAUUUACAAUUGUAUUUACCUAGUGUCAUCUCAUGACCAUGGGACGCACUUUAAAAAAUAAUUAUCUAAGACAGAACUGCUCAAUAGAAAUAUAACGCUGACUGCAAAUGUGAGCCAGAGAAGUAAUUUAAAGUUUCUUAUUAGCUGCACCUUAAAAAGUAACAAGAAGUGGGUAAAAUUAAUGUUCAUAUUUAUAUUUUAUUAAUCCAAAUACAGCAAAAAUAUCAUUUCUUCCUGUUAUCAGUAUGAAAAAUAUUGAGAUAUUAAUUUUGUUUUUGGACUCAGUUUUGAAAUGCAAUGUAUAUUUCACACAUAAUCAUAUUUUAAUUUAGAUUAGCCACAUUCCAAGUACUCAGUAGCCACACGGUAUUAAUGGCUACCAUAUUAGACAGCUAAUAUAAUCAAAGAUCUUGACCUGGAGGCUUAGUAUGUCUGUAAGAUGUUCUUUGGAGGGUUAAUUUCGCUUUUAUAGAGAAAAUAAUUUUAAAAUAGGGGACUAAACAUGAGCCAUUCCAGACUUCUAAAUGUUCUUGAAAAUUGGGAGGCUUUGGCCAUAUUGGGCCAUUUGGCAACAUUCUUCAUUUGGUGACUCAUAAUCACCUGAGCCCAGUAAUGACUGCACCUGCCCCCUUGGCCAUACUCAUUUGCAGAUCAUUUCACAUAUACACGUCACCUGCCCGGUUCUCACAGGGAGCUGAAUUUGCAACUCCAAAUCUAGGCCAACCUUCCUUUCUUACAGAUAAGAAAACUGAGUCC